CCGUAAAAGAUUCAAUAAACAAUCACUUUACCGACGUUGUUUGUCCAUUCAUCUUUCAAGAGAACAUGGCUAUCGGCAUCAACCGAGUAUAUUGUUUCAUUGCAAUUCUUUGCAUUGCUUCAGUUUUGCAUCGAGGUGGUGCAAGAAGAUAUGAAGAAAUUAUGAGUGACGACGCCCAAUUUGAUUGUUUUGAUUCACAGGAAUGUCCAUCAUCUAAUGAAGAUUGUAUACAGAGAUGUCAACGACGAGGUUUGAGUAGUGGCAGUUGCCAAGGACGUCUAUGUUGUUGCCCAACAAAUACACUCUAAAUCUAGCUCUGUACAUCUGUACAAGUUUAUGUAUGAAUUAUGGCUUCAUCAAUAAAAACUAAAAAUAAACACAUUGAGUUAAGUUUA